rfam:Oryza rufipogon genomic scaffold, chr05
AAUAAAUGUAGUUUUACACUAUUCACGUUCAACGUUUGACCGUUCGUCUUAUUUGAAAAUUUUUUAUGAUUAGUAUUUUUAUUGCUAUUAGAUGAUAAAACAUGAAUAGUACUUUAUGCAUGACUAAAUAUUUUUAAAUUUUUCAUAAAUUUUUCAAAUAAGACGGACGGUCAAACGUUGAGCACGGAUAUCCACGGCUACACUUAUU